GUUUGGUGGAAUUCUCCAUUGAAGCUAUCUGGUCCUGGACUUUUGUUUGCAGGGAGGGUUUUUUAUUGCUAGUUCUGUAUCACUUCUAGUGAUUGCUCUGUUCAGAUUAUCUAUUUCUUCUUGAUUCAGCUUUGGUGGACUGUAUGUUUC